AUCCGGCUGACGCGUCCUAAAUAGGACGAAACGCGUGUCCUGGAU
rnacentral:hammerhead_ribozyme from 1 species